UCUUCUCUUUUGUUCAGAUGCCGUCAACCUGGAACCACGCGGAGCCUGAACGGGGUUUUACCGGCCGUCGUGGAAUUCAAACACGGAGGCUCCCACGGCAACGACCCAGCGGCCGCCUACAGCGACGCAAAGCAGGGGAGGCAGAUGUACGUCUCCUCAGCAGCUGAGGAGAGGAAAGAGUCUGCCGAGGAGGAAGAGGAGGAGGAGGAUGAGGAGGAAGACAGGGAGGAGGAGGAGGAGCAGAGACCCUUGUGUUCUGGUGUCCUGGGCUACCCGGUGGUUAGGGACCACACUCUGGGCCUCGGACUGAGCAGCACACCAGAUGAACCGGCUGGAGACAACACGCACAACCAGGAAUAUAAAGAGCUCCACGUGGACGAGUGGGUCCACCAGCACCCCGGCGACAGCAUGGAGGAGUUGGCCCAGUGUCAGGAGACGCCAGCCGGGGAGGAGGACAGUGAUACGGAUCUCACCUAUGGAGAGGUGGAGCAACGGCUGGACCUGCUGCAGCAACACCUGAACAGACUGGAGUCCCAGAUGACUGCAGACAUCCAGGGCCAUCCUGCAGCUCCUCCAGCGACAGACCACGGCCGGCCCCC
ensembl:lncRNA